AGAUGUCCAAAAAUUUGUCAGAAUAACUGAGCCAAAUCUGAAAGACUUUUUGAUUGCAGCAUUUGCAAAGUUUGGUGUCCCAGCUGUAACAGAAGAAUCUGUCUCCAUGGUGGCCUCUUCUGAGCAAUCCCAACCAUCAUCCCUUGAUACCUUGGACUCUGAGGAUACAGUCAUUAUUUCAGAUAGCCCCUCCAGAAACGCCAGAGGCUGGAUACAGAAGCCAAGCAAGUAAGACAAUUCUGACAUUUUAAAUUCUGUUCUUGAAUCUGUUCUCAGAGAAUUAAAAUUACAUUAAUAUACAUUGUAAAUUACAUGGUUUCAAAACAUUUUUGAAGUCCUGAUUAGGGAUGUCCCGAUCAA